CCUGAAUACUGUUGCAUGGAAUAAUAGAAUAGGACCUUGGUUCUGUUCUGUUGGUCUUCGGAAUCGAGGUAAUGAUUAAGAGGGACGGACGGGGACAUUAGUACUGCGGCGAUAGAGGUGAAAUUCUUGGACCGCCGCAUGACUAACAAAAGCGAAAGCAUUUGUCAAGAACGUUUUCAUUAAUCAAGAACGAAAGUUAGAGGUUCGAAGGCGAUCAGAUACCGCCCUAGUUCUAACCAUAAACGAUGCCAACCAGCAAUCAGCCAUAGUUAAUUAGAGACUAGGCUGGCGGCUUCCGGGAAACCAAAGUUUUUCGGUUCCAGGGGAAGUAUGGUUGCAAAGCUGAAACUUAAAGGAAUUGACGGAAGGGCACCACCAGGAGUGGAGCCUGCGGCUUAAUUUGACUCAACACGGGAAAACUCACCCGGUCCGGACACUGGAAGGAUUGACAGAUUAAAGCUCUUUCUUGAUUC
rnacentral:rRNA from 1 species